UUACUGGCUCAGAUUGAACGCUGGCGGCAGGCCUAACACAUGCAAGUCGAACGGUAACAGGAAUCAGCUUGCUGAUUCGCUGACGAGUGGCGGACGGGUGAGUAAUGUCUGGGAAACUGCCUGAUGGAGGGGGGAUAACUACUGGAAACGGUAGCUAAUACCGCAUAACGUCGCAAGACCAAAGAGGGGACCUUCGGGCCUCUUGCCAUCGGAUGUGCCCAGAUGGGAUUAGCUAGUAGGUGGGGUAACGGCUCACCUAGGCGACGAUCCCUAGCUGGUCUGAGAGGAUGACCAGCCACACUGGAACUGAGACACGGUCCAGACUCCUACGGGAGGCAGCAGGUGGGGAAUAUUGCAACAAGUGGGCGCAAGCCUGAUGCAGCCAUGCCGCGUGUAUGAAGAAGGCCGUUCGGGUUAGUAAAGUUACUUCAGCGGGGAGGAAGGGAGUAAAGUUAAUACCUUUGCUCAUUGACGUUACCCGCAGAAGAAGCACCGGCUAACUCCGUGCCAGCCGCGGC
rnacentral:rRNA from 1 species